UACGGAGGGAGCUAGCGUUGUUCGGAAUUACUGGGCGUAAAGCGCGCGUAGGCGGCUUUGUAAGUUAGAGGUGAAAGCCCGGAGCUCAACUCCGGAACUGCCUUUAAAACUGCAUCGCUUGAAUCCAGGAGAGGUGAGUGGAAUUCCGAGUGUAGAGGUGAAAUUCGUAGAUAUUCGGAAGAACACCAGUGGCGAAGGCGGCAUCCUGGACCGACAUUGACGCUGAGGAGCGAAAGCCAGGGGAGCAAACGGG
rnacentral:rRNA from 1 species